rnacentral:rRNA from 1 species
UACGGGGGGUGCAAGCGUUAAUCGGAAUUACUGGGCGUAAAGGGUUCGUAGGUGGUUAGAUAAGUUAUCUGUAAAAUCCCUGGGCUUAACCUGGGCAGGUCGGAUAAGACUGUUUAACUCGAGUAGAGGAGAGGGUAGUGGAAUUUCCGGUGUAGCGGUGAAAUGCGUAGAUAUCUGGAGGAACACCGGUGGCGAAGGCGGCAUCCUGGACCGACACUGACGCUGAGGAGCGAAAGCCAGGGGAGCAAACGGG